UACGUAGGGGGCAAGCGUUGUCCGGAAUUAUUGGGCGUAAAGAGCUCGUAGGCGGUCCUUUAAGUCGGAUGUGAAAUCUCAGGGCUCAACCCUGAAACUGCACCCGAUACUGAAGGACUUGAGGCAGGUAGGGGAAGGUGGAAUUCCUGGUGUAGCGGUGAAAUGCGCAGAUAUCAGGAGGAACACCCGUGGCGAAGGCGGCCUUCUGGGCCUGUUCUGACGCUGAGGAGCGAAAGCGUGGGGAGCAAACAGG
rnacentral:rRNA from 1 species